rnacentral:rRNA from 1 species
GGAGGAUCCAAGCGUUAUCCGGAAUCAUUGGGUUUAAAGGGUCCGUAGGCGGUUUGGUAAGUCAGUGGUGAAAGCCCAUCGCUCAACGGUGGAACGGCCAUUGAUACUGCCAUACUUGAAUUAUUAGGAAGUAACUAGAAUAUGUAGUGUAGCGGUGAAAUGCUUAGAGAUUACAUGGAAUACCAAUUGCGAAGGCAGGUUACUACUAAUGGAUUGACGCUGAUGGACGAAAGCGUGGGUAGCGAACAGGAUUAGAUACCCUGGUAGUCCACGCCGUAAACGAUGGAUACUAGCUGUUGGGAGCGAUCUCAGUGGCUAAGCGAAAGUGAUAAGUAUCCCACCUGGGGAGUACGUUCGCAAGAAUG